AAUUUUGCCUCCCCAUAAGAGAUUUUCUGGCUCCGCCCCUGCUAGUCUCCUCCCUCUUUUUUCUGUUCUUUUCUUCAUGCAUCUUCUAUAGAGUUAGAGAGUUCCAAAAUUUUUAGAAUAACCUGUAAGAUUAACCCGAUUGACAUCCAAAGAGAAAAUCUGUUCAGUUGUUCAUUUUUUUCUAUUUGGUCUUUCACUUCACACAAAUAUGAGGACGAAUCCAAGGCUUGUUCUUGCGUCUCUGAGAUUAAAAUUUGGUCACGACUUAGUUUAUAAAUGUAGGCUCCUUCUUCCUUCAUUUCAAAGGUUCGCUAUUCUACUAUCAUUUCUGCUCUCUCGUCUCCUUCCCUCCGUUCAUCUGAAUCGGUUUAGGUGUAAUGACUUCAACAAGAAGUCUUCAGGUCAGCCAUCACUUCAAUCUGAACUCAUCAUUCCUGAAACACAAUAGGAAUACAGUCACUCACACAUUACAAUUUUUACCUUCAAAAUCUGUCAUAUUACCCUCAAAGCUUAGCUGUUCCAUGAUAACUAUACCCAGGGUGCUUGUUGGUCAGAGUUCAAAAGUUUUUCAACGUUCAUCUCAUACUUUCUUUAGAUUCUUCUAUUGGUGUGUUAGCUAUUUGAGUGCUAAGAUGUACAAUCAAGUAACCGAGCUUCCAACUGCUGUCAAGACUUUGGUUAUUAUCGCUUUGCUAAGCGGUUUCAUCGAAGAGCUUAGGAAAAUCAUGUGGGACUAUUUCUUGGUACUUACGAUGAUGCACAAGAAUCGGUUCAAAGUUGGCGAUACCGUUAGGAUUAUCUCUAAUGGAAAAAUGGUCACGGGAGAGGUCAGUGAUGUUGAUAAUUUUCAUGUCUCUAUUGCAAGAAAAACAGGCGGUGUGCUUGCUGUUCCAAAUAAAGAGUUUAUCAAGACCCUGGAGAAUUUAAGUCAGCUAGAAGUGAAGAAACGGUUUAAGUUCGAUUUAGUUGUGAAGAUGCACCUCUCAGAGACAGUUGAGGCUGGAAUUAGGAGUUGCUUUAAGAAGCUUGAUGAAGAUACUAAGCUAUAUACUAGCAAUUUUGAAGUCAGAAUGCAGAAGUUUGAUGGGGAGAAAAAUACUUUGGCGCUAAAUAGUUUUGUAUGUUGAAGUUGCAAGUGGCUUGUCUAAUUCAAAGGAACAAAUAUGUCGUGACCAGCGUUACUCUUGCCUCCAAGUUUCUAGAUGUUCUGGGGAGGUGUGAAGCUGCUGAUUCAAGAUGACCCCAAACCCAGAUGCAUAGAAUUUUUGGGCCAACUCUGAAUUAGUAAUAGUGCAUGAAAUCUUUUAUCACUUUGUGGAUUUCAUAAGGCUUACUUUUACAAAUGUUUGAACUUCAUGAAUCCCUAUAAAAUGUACUUUCACUGCAUACGACAUUUUUGGGUGGACUCUGAAUUGGUAUCAGUGCAUAGUAUCUUGUACCACUUUCAGGAUUUCACAAGGCUUAGUUUUAUGAGUGUUCGGACUUCAUGAAGUUUACAUGAUGUACAGAUGCCGUGUUUGCUUAUAUAAAUAUACAGAACUUUCUGUAAAUUAACUUCCUUUAUAUUAUCUCUUUCAGUUCUUAUGUUAGUUCAAGGUAAAACAGGAUAUAAUCUCAACCCUGCUUGUGCCUUUCUGUUACUGCGCUGAGCUUUCACAACUUUUUUUUUUAGUUCCGAUUCUUCUUCUUUUUAUCAUGUUAAUGCUGAGCUGGUUGGACAUCUUGUAGUUGUUGUAUUCCCUGUUUGACUAUUAACUGAAUGAUAUCAAAUACAGGUUCCCCCAUGUUCUGGGGCAACCUAGUCUCAUAUGUGACUUCCCUGUUUGGUGUUUAGGAAUGCUUAAAACAUGUAGUGAUAAUCAAUAGUACAAAUUAAUAGUCUGAACAUGUGCGGAAACUGUUUCAUCAUGUAUGAUUUUCAAUGGUAGAGUUUGAAAAGGUUUUUUAUGGCUCUUAUGUGCCUAAAUUGGUGCACUAGUAGUUGAUAAUCCGUCUGCAGGUACAACUCCUGCUGCUACUCCCUUGGGUGUCGCAUGUGAUUCUACACCGACUCCAAACAUCAAAGAUCGAAAUGGGAUGAAACUCCUGCAAGCAUGUGUCAUGUUACUCCAUGGCGGGUGCAACUCCAGCUGCUGCAUACACUUCAGGAGUUACACCUCUUGGAGGCAUUGAUAUGGCAUUGAGGUCUUGCUCCAACACUUGGGGCAAUUACGCCUGGAAAAUUUAAUUUAGUGAGAUGGUAAAGAUGUUGAAGAGAGAAACAGGCCAUUAAGUGACGAGGAACUUGAUUCAAUGUCUCCACAAGAAGGGUACGAAGUUUUAGAUCCUCCAUUAUUGUACGUUCCAAUUAGAACUCUUGCCGGGAAGCUUUUUGCAGCUCUUACUUUACUGGGUAACUCACUUUAUCAAAUCCCUGAAGAGAACUGUGGGCAGCAUUUGAUGUUCCGAAAGAAGCACAUUGAGGGUUUCCAUUCAGGAAACCAGAGAGGAUUACCAGUACUUCGAACCACUGCUAAAUGAAGGUCCUGAAACUACUGCUUAAGGUCAAGACUCAAGAGCGACAUCUUCUAGUUUGGUGGAGGCCCACACUUUAACAGGAUAUUGCCUUCACUUAUGCAACUGAUGUUUGAAUAUCAAGAGCGACAUCUUCUAGUUAAGGUUAUAGAUAGGGAUUUGGACAAGUUGGAUGAACUUGUACCGAACUUCUUGUGGUGAUCAACCCUUUUCUGAUAGAUGAGGCUAUUAUGCUCGUGUCGAGGGAAUGAAAUUAUUUCCAACCUGAGUACAGCUCUGGUUUUGCUACGAUGAUUGCUUCAAUGAAGCCUGGUGUUUGUAUAAUUAUGAGUAUGUUAAUUGUGAGGGCUUUCGGUGUUUCUUCA